AUCCUUAUAGAAGACAACCUUUUCCAGCUUCGCUCCACCCCAGACUACACACCUGAGAGCCACAGGCUCCCCCUGCAGCGCAGGAACGGCCGGAGGAACCAACAUCACCAUGAGCUCUGAGAAACAGACCAAACACAGACUGAUGGGAACUAGCUGACAGAAAGGUGGUUAGAAAAAGUUUUCCAGGAAAGAGCAGCCUGCAUAGUUAAUAGAGAAGUGGACUGCAAAUUCAGCGGAAGAGACAUGCGAUGACUGUGUUCAAAUAGUAAAACAAUCCCUUGUUUGUAAAUGGUUUCGCAGAAUUGUAUCUUAUGAUAAUGUAAGCACAGCAAAAGAGAUUUUGAAAAAUGGUUCAUGGGUUGCUUGUUUUGAACACCAUUGACUUUCAUUGCAUGAACACAAACAGUCAAAACAUUCUUCAAAGUAUCUCUUUCUGUCUUCCACAGAAGAAACGUCACUGCAUUGCUUCGAAGAUCGCUUUUCUUUUUCUUGCACCAGAAAGUGGCUCUUUCUGCCUCCUUUAAUUCUGCAAAUAUAACAGCUCUGUUCAUCUUCUCAUCAACAUCGACUCCUAGACUGAAGGUGCUC